CCUUUGAUAUUUGAAACAUUAUGUAGAAACUAGAGAGUCAACAAAAAACGAUGUACGUGUUGUUUGAGUUUGUCGUCAAAAGCAGUUAAGCAUCUGAAUUAAGAAACUACAACCAUGCUUUGAGAGUGUAUAAUGAAAGAUGUUUGCAAGCAGAAUACAGGAAAUGGAUAGGCAUUAUGACCAAGUUGUGCUAAGCUUUAAGUGCUACCCAUUCAAGUUUACUUCUUCUAAAUACAACACAAUCAUUGAAGCACUUAUGACUGUUUGCCUGUUUCCUUGGAAAUUUAUUUAAUGUUGAGAUGGUAAAUGUAGACAUUUGUGUGAUAUUGUGCCAAGAGUUUUGACAUGGACAAACAAAAUAGUUGGCAAGGGCAGCAGAAAAGUCCAAAUUUAAACACCUGUAAUGAAAAAACUGAAAGCAUUUGUUGCAUCCAAGCCAAUCUUCACCAUCAUUGUCUUUGCAUAUUUUGGAAACACUAGUAUUUCCUCUACAGCAAAACAAA